UGGCAGUGUUUCCGCAGGCCGGCGGUGCCCCGUGUCCUGUCCCGCUGCGGAACGGGCUCGGGGCGUCAGGAGAGGCGCUGGGAGCUGCCCGUGUUUAGCCUAGGGAAGGGAAGGCUGAGAGGGGAUCUCGUUUAUACGCGUCCUGUGAGGAGCGGCCGGGGGUGCGUCUCAGCCUGGCGAAAAAGAGGCUGAGGGACCUUGCUGGUGCAGCAUGUGGAAAUUGUGUCACAAUAAUCCUCACUGGCAGGUUCCACUUUCAACCCAACAGACAUCACGGAACAUCACAUAGCUGCAAGCAGGAUAAAAGCCAAACCCUGUGGUGAGGGCUGCUGAACUGAGCCAGGGCCAAACCCCGGCCCUGCGAGUCUGAGGACACAAGGCAGACACUGAAGUAAGAGGAGGCUCAUACACGUCAUGGUAAGAACAUAAUUGCACACAUUUUCAAGUAAUCCAAGAGGCAACUUAAUUUACACUGAAGGUUUUGGAUGUGGAUGGAGACUUUGCUCUUAGGUUCCAGAAUAAGAUAACUCACAGGGGCUUAAUUUUCAGAUUGCCCUGGAAAUCAGGG